GUGCGUCUCAUAUGUGCGCCAAAGAAGAACAACACAUAUAAUGACAAAAUGUAUAGAGAUACAUGUCAUAAUAUCAUUAAUGUCAUUAUUACACAGUGGAAGUCUUUUAAAAAUAAAUGAUAAAUAUAAAGCGAACUAAGUGUCCAUCCUUGGCGCCAUAAAGCUGACUAGGAGACGCCACCUAAAUCAACUGGUACUCCUCAUUAUACGGUUCCUCCGGGACCACCUGUUCUUCUCCUAUGGGGGGGUUAUAUAUCGCAAGUGUGAGCUCACAAAAGAUCACAGCUCAACAAGUUGUGGGGAAUAGUGUGCAUGAACUCACCAUAGGUGGGAGUUCAUGUGAAGUGUAAGGCUGACCAAUAAAUAGGGGUUAAAGCUGAGCAUUGCUUUUAAUAAGUUAAUCAAAUUUUAUUAGCAGUUACAAAAUGUAAGUAAAUACCAAACCGGAGUAAUAGUAGAUCAAAAUUAAUAAUAAAUCCCAGUGCGAUGCAAAUGACAAAUUGAAUUUAAUUCCAUAAAUUAAUCAUGCAAGAGUACUAAGCUGCUCAUGACCGCGAGGACGUCUAGUAUAACAGUUUUACACUCUGCAGAGGUUGUACCCUGUACCCACAAGUCGUGUACCCCAUGUAGCCUGGGUUUGCAAGGCCCUUAGACAAUUCCGAGGUGAAUGGCUUGGGAUCCACUACGAGACCUUUACAAAGUUCCACUAGCUUCAGAAAACCCGCUAUAAUUUUCUAGGAAGAGCAAUGCAGGAAUCCCCCGUCUAACCGCCAUCGCAACAAAAUCAACCCGGGAACCUCCCUACAUGCCCUACUCCGCUACUGCCCUUGCCCCUAUCGGGUAAGGUAGUCCUCCACUAGCUUUCCUAGUUAGUCAGCCAAGGGCGUCCCAUUCCACCCUUGUGGGGGCACAUGUUUAUCAAGUUAAGCUCCAUGUUCCAAUUAAAAUAAUAGUCUUAUCAUGAACAGAAAUAGAACACUAAUAAAGAAUAAUCAUGUGUAAUAGUUAUCUCAACACCCAAAACCAUGUAUAGCAAUAGCAAUGACUACCCAAAAAUUCAGGGGUAAAAAAGGUGAAAAGAUAACCAGACUAGGGCGACUUAUUGGGUCCCAUCAAAAUUAAGCCUAUGCAUGAAUAAAUAAUUAUAAAGAACAUUAUUGGGUAACAAAGUGAUCAAGGGCACAACUUGCCUUCAAUGAGCUCCUGCUCAGCAACUUCUACCUGUUGAACACAUGACUCCUCAGCCACGGGCUCUUCUACUCGCCACAGUACAAACAAGCAUGGUACAAGGGAGAAAUUAACAUCACACCAAACAUGUAUACAAAAUACAUAAUAAUAAUCUAUGCAUUAAAAUGAGAUCUUAGGAAAAAGAAUCACUAAAUUCGGAGUUACGGAUUUUAAGUUAUGAUUUUCCGAAGUAUUUAUGUGCUUGGUACAAAAUUAAUUGAGUAAUCAAUUAUAGUAUGGCUUUCAUGUUAAAACAGUGGCACUAAGUGAUAAACAAUAUUAUUACAAAAUUAUAGAAACUAGAAUGGAUCAAUUUGGACUUAAUAUGAAUUUUCUAGAAAUUAAACAAGUUCUAGUAGUUAUUUUUACAUUAAAAAUCAAUUUCUAUUUCAUUUUCCUUGAUUUUCUUUCCCCCUGGACUGAGUGCAAGAUUCCUGAGAAAGUAUUUCUGUGACUCAGGCCACAGUGAAAUUGGAUGGCGAGUUUAUUCCCUAAAAAUAGAGAGGUUCUUUUGUGAAAUGGGUUCUAUGAAGGGGUAAACGUGGCUCUCUGCCGUUCAAUCAAAUUUGGGUGUGCCAGAUUAGAUCCCGAUGAACUGGUAUGCAAAACUAGACGUCGAAUCCGAGAUCAACGGUGAAGAGAUCAUCUACUCUAGAUCGGUUGUGGGCCGUCCGAUUAAGAACCACGACGGAGAUGAACACAGCGAAGGGGUACGUUCCCAAUCUAAUCGUAGCCAUCGAGCCUUUGAUCAACGACCCAUGGUAAACUCCCUACUCGGGCUAUCCCGACGGCGGCGCCGCCCCAUUUGCGGCGCGACAUCGCUGGCGAGCACACGAUUUCCACCCCUAGACCAUGAUUCGGGUACUUCGUAAUGAGGAGCAGGUAGCGGACUCAGUCCGAGGCUACAUACCGGUUCCCAGAGUGACGAUGUCCAGUGCACGGCGGGAGUGGGUCCGCGAUGCGGUGAAGUCUCCAACGAGCAAUCCCCGCCGUUCAGGUGUUAGUUCCCUUGGUCCGAGCGCGUAUGGACUCCCCGUGGUUUGGCGAACACCCCAUCUCUCCUUCCCAAUCCUAGGGCGGCGGCACGGCGCUCGGCGAUGAUGGCCGAUCCCAGGCGCACCAAACUGGCUACCGGCGGCGAUGAGAGACAACGAUUGCGUGGCUGGUGGCGAUUGAGGGCAAU
rnacentral:lncRNA from 1 species